UUUCUUUUUGAAAAUUUAAAAGAGAAUCAGGUGCAAAUCCUGAGCGGGUCCGCCACUGUGAGGAGUAAAAUUGGCUGUUAUACCACUCAUUAAGUUGGGGAAGGUAGCAGAGGUGAAGAAAUCCAAGCCAGGAGAACUGCUUGAUAAUCA
rnacentral:ncRNA from 1 species